AGUGAACGCUGGCGGUAGGCCUAACACAUGCAAGUCGAACGGCAGCACAGUAAGAGCUUGCUCUUACGGGUGGCGAGUGGCGGACGGGUGAGGAAUACAUCGGAAUCUACUUUUUCGUGGGGGAUAACGUAGGGAAACUUACGCUAAUACCGCAUACGACCUACGGGUGAAAGCAGGGGAUCUUCGGACCUUGCACGAUUGAAUGAGCCGAUGUCGGAUUAGCUAGUUGGCGGGGUAAAGGCCCACCAAGGCGACGAUCCGUAGCUGGUCUGAGAGGAUGAUCAGCCACACUGGAACUGGGACACGGUCCAGACUCCUACGGGAGGCAGCAGUGGGGAAUAUUGGACAAUGGGCGCAAGCCUGAUCCAGCCAUACCGCGUGGGUGAAGAAGGCCUUCGGGUUGUAAAGCCCUUUUGUUGGGAAAGAAAAGCAGCAGGUUAAUACCCCGCUGUUCUGACGGUACCCAAAGAAUAAGCACCGGCUAACUUCGUG
rnacentral:rRNA from 1 species